GAUGAACGCUGGCGGCGUGCCUAAUACAUGCAAGUCGAGCGAACGGACGAGAAGCUUGCUUCUCUGAUGUUAGCGGCGGACGGGUGAGUAACACGUGGAUAACCUACCUAUAAGACUGGGAUAACUUCGGGAAACCGGAGCUAAUACCGGAUAAUAUUUUGAACCGCAUGGUUCAAAAGUAAAAUACGUUCUUGCUGUCACUUAUAGAUGGAUCCGCGCUGCAUUAGCUAGUUGGUAAGAUAACGGCUUACCAAGGCAACGAUGCAUAGCCGACCUGAGAGGGUGAUCGGCCACACUGGAACUGAGACACGGUCCAGACUCCUACGGGAGGCAGCAGUAGGGAAUCUUCCGAAAUGGGCGAAAGCCUGACGGAGCAACGCCGCGUGAGUGAUGAAGGUCUUCGGAUCGUAAAACUCUGUUAUUAGGGAAGAACAUAUGUGUAAGUAACUGUGCACAUCUUGACGGUACCUAAUCAGAAAGCCACGGCUAACUACGUG
rnacentral:rRNA from 1 species